CCUCUCCCCGCCAUACACACACGCAACAUGAAGAAUUAAAGUGAGAGCAAAAGGUUAAAAGAACAAAAUGGGGUGCCUUCCAUGCCUAGUUCAUAGCAAGCCAUCCACUAGAGAUGUCUUCCUUAUCAAGCAAAAUGGCAAGCUAAUCAAAGCCAAACAAGGAACCCUUCUCGAACACAUUUUAGCUUCUCAUCCAAAUCACAUUGGACUGCAAGGAACUCUGUCGUCGGACCCUUCAGUUCCGAUGAUGGUGCUGCCAGAUUCUUUUCGGCUUGGCUGCGGGGAUAACAAUGAGAUAUACUUUCUGGUGACCAAAGAGCAAGUUUCGUCAAACCCUGAAACCUCCAUGAGGCUGGCACGCUACAGAACUGAAAGUGGUGAAGAAAGUAGCGAUCACAGAAGCGGAGAUCACAAGAAGCGGCAAACGAGUAAGUCCAGCUGAAAACUUGGAAAUGAAAAGCAACGGCAGCAGCUCACAAAUGCUUCUUUAGAACAUAAGAGAUGGCAACCAGCCCAGCAUUCCACACCAGAGAUGUACUCGACAAAGAACUUGUAAAUAUUGGACUGUUAACCCAUUUACAUUCAGUUUUGUUUAAAAAAUCUUUUUUUUUUCCUUUCUUUUUCUUUUUAUCACACACUCUAAUCUCACCCUUUCUUGUAUGUGUUGUUCACUUACCUACAAUCAAAAUGACAAUGAAAAAUUGAAAAUCGAAUCAAAAUGAAAAUAUUAAUCAGACCCAUUAAUUCAAUUUUUUAACAAAAUUGCAGAUAAUUUCAGUUACACCCUAGAUCAUUUUCAUUAUCUUCACACUGGUUUUCUUUAUUGUUUAUUUAAUUGAUUUUUUUUAGAGAAAAUUUUUUUUUACACAAAAAAGCAAAUCAAAAUAGAUAAUUAAAUGUUAGAUUUUAUAUUUAAACUCAGCGACACUAGCGCAAUAACCUCUAAAACUGUGAAGUAAAGUCUUAAUUAAAAC
rnacentral:misc_RNA from 1 species